UGGGGAAUAUUGCACAAUGGGCGCAAGCCUGAUGCAGCCAUGCCGCGUGUGUGAAGAAGGCCUUCGGGUUGUAAAGCACUUUCAGCGGGGAGGAAGGCGUUAAGGUUAAUAACCUUGGCGAUUGACGUUACCCGCCGAAGAAGCACCGGCUAACUCCGUGCCAGCAGCCGCGGUAAUACGGAGGGUGCAAGCGUUAAUCGGAAUUACUGGGCGUAAAGCGCACGCAGGCGGUCUGUCAAGUCGGAUGUGAAAUCCCCGGGCUCAACCUGGGAACUGCAUUCGAAACUGGCAGGCUAGAGUCUUGUAGAGGGGGGUAGAAUUCCAGGUGUAGCGGUGAAAUGCGUAGAGAUCUGGAGGAAUACCGGUGGCGAAGGCGGCCCCCUGGACAAAGACUGACGCUCAGGUGCGAAAGCGUGGGGAGCAAACAGG
rnacentral:rRNA from 1 species